UACGUAGGGGGCAAGCGUUAUCCGGAAUUACUGGGUGUAAAGGGUGAGUAGGCGGCAUGGUAAGCCAGAUGUGAAAGCCUUGGGCUUAACCCGAGAAUUGCAUUUGGAACUAUCAAGCUAGAGUACAGGAGAGGAAAGCGGAAUUCCUAGUGUAGCGGUGAAAUGCGUAGAUAUUAGGAAGAACACCAGUGGCGAAGGCGGCUUUCUGGACUGAAACUGACGCUGAGGCACGAAAGCGUGGGGAGCGAACAGG
rnacentral:rRNA from 1 species